CAAAAUAAUAAAAUUAUGAUUAUUUCAUACAAGCAAUAGUGUAUGAAGUAAAACCACUAUAUAUCAAAAAUCAAAUUAUUUCAAAUGAUUCUGAGACCAGUUUAUUCAAAACUGUUUUUAAAGCUUCCUCUAUAGUCAAUAUUCACAAUGGCUUUACUCUGUAAUUGCAUUCUGGUCCCUUUAAAAGCUAGAAUGAUAACACAAUCAAGAAAAAGGUUUAUUUAAAUCGAAUUAUACAGCAAAUCUUAUGUAAUUCACAUUUUUGUUAGAGUCAGAAACAGUAGUAUACCGCUCUUCAAUAUCAGAAUUAUGUUCUGAUCUAAAGUAAAUCUAUUAGCAAUCUCUAUUUUUUUCAUAUCCUUGAAAUGGCCGUACAGUCGAGGAUAAUGAUAACAUAUUGAAAUGUCUCCGACUUAGGUUUUUAGUACACUAAACAAAAGAAAGUUAAUAUAAACGAGUGGAAAAUACUAUGGUUAUCAAUUACGUAAUUGGUUUUUACAAGGAGUACAGCCUGUUUAUCAUUUAGUGUUGAUUCAACCUCGUUUAGUGAAAGACAUUAACGUGGCGUUAUUACGCAAUCUAGUUUUUUUACGAAUUCUAAUGUGAAAUCUAAGAUUUUUAAAAAUAAAUGUUCUGACGUUCUUUCCCGCAAAGUUAAAAAACAAGCUCAUGAAUUUAUGUCAAAAAAAUAAACCAAUGAAAUUUUGAAAAACAAUUUUUUCUUUUUAAGUUAUAUGGAUAUCGAAACAAAUGACAACGUAAUAUAAUAACCGUAUGAUAAUUAACACAGAAUAUGAAUGAUUCUUCUGGUCAUGAAAAUUAAAAUAUUUCCAUUGACUUUGCUGCAAAAACGUUGGGAAGAGAACAGAUACUUUCAAUGCGCCCAACAAAGAGCAACAAAUGCCCCUCUUUCACCCCCCCGAAAAAAAAACAAAAAAACAAAAAACAAAAAAAAAAAAAAUAACAUGCACAACAAAAACAAGCUCUGUUUUAUAGUUUACAUUUAAAUGUUCGAUUCCUCCUUAAUGUAACGAUAAAAAGUUGUAAAUAAAUAAAAUAGAGUAAACAUGCAAAGGAUAAUAUGUCAAG
rnacentral:lncRNA from 1 species